AUGAAUAGCAAGCUCACGGUUAGCGUUACAGAUGAGGAAGUUGAAGUUGCGCUUUUUCAGAUGGGACCGACGAAGGCCCCGGGGCCAGAUGGCCUGCCGGCGUUAUUUUAUCAGCGGCACUGGCCGUUGGUGAAAGGAGAUGUGUGUCGUGCGGUCCAAGAUUUUCUAAGGGGUGUAGCAGCCCCGGAUUCGUUUAACGCGACUAUGAUAGUGAUGAUUCCGAAGGUCAAUUCACCGGAGUUGCUUUCACAGUUUCGCCCCAUCAGUUUGUGUAACGUCCUAUAUAAACUGGCUGCCAAGGUACUUGCUAAUAGGCUAAAGGUUUUCCUUCCGGUUCUAAUCUCAGAGGAACAAAGUGCGUUUGUACCCGGACGGAUUAUUACGGAUAAUGUGAUAGUAGCCUCUGAGUGUGUGCAUGCAAUAAGAACCAGGAAACAGAAAAAACCUUUAUGUGCAGUAAAGUUGGAUAUGACAAAGGCUUACGAUAGAGUUGAAUGGAUGUUUCUGGAACAAAUGCUGGCUAAAUAUGGUUUUGCGGAAGGGUGGAUCAGGAUGGUGAUGAGAUGUGUGACUUCUGCACGUUUUACUAUGAAGCUAAAUGGAGGACUCUCUAGGGGUUUCGUGCCAUCACGGGGGCUCAGGCAGGGGGAUCCACUCUCCCCAUACUUAUUUCUAUUCUGUGUUGAGGGUUUCUCAGCGAUGUUGAAGAAGGCACAAGCAGAGGGCAGCAUCAAGGGUGUAGGAUUUGGGAGCACUGGCCCCCAAGUCACUCACCUCCUAUUUGCAAAUGACAGCAUUGUGUUCUUACAAGGUACGCCGGAAAAUGUCCAUGUGCUUAAGAACAUCUUGGUUAGGUACGAAGCUGCUUCGGGUCAAAAAAUAAACCUCCAAAAAUUGUCAAUAUUCUUCGGGAAAGGUUGUGGACAGCAACAAAAAGAUGUUCUCAAGCAAGUGGUUGGCAUUGAACAAGAAGCUCUUAGUGAGAGAUACUUGGGCCUGCCAACGGUAGUGGGGAGAUCCAAGAUGGCACUUUUGUAUGUGACGGAAUGCUCAAAAGGAAAAGUAACGGGUUGGAAGGGACAAGGGUUGUCCAAGAAGGCUAGGGAAGUACUGAUUAAAUAUGUUUUGCAAGCCACACCUACUCUCACAAUGUGUUGUUUUCACCUCUCGAAGAAGAUGUGCCGGAACCUGUCUUCAAUC
rnacentral:rRNA from 1 species